rnacentral:rRNA from 1 species
UGGAGGGAGCUAGCGUUGUUCGGAAUUACUGGGCGUAAAGCGCACGUAGGCGGCGAUUUAAGUCAGAGGUGAAAGCCCGGGGCUCAACCCCGGAACUGCCUUUGAGACUGGAUUGCUAGAAUCUUGGAGAGGCGGGUGGAAUUCCGAGUGUAGAGGUGAAGUUCGUAGAUAUUCGGAAGAACACCAGUGGCGAAGGCGGCCCGCUGGACAAGUAUUGACGCUGAGGUGCGAAAGCGUGGGGAGCAAACAGGAUU